rnacentral:rRNA from 1 species
CCUACGGGUGGCAGCAGUAGGGAAUCUUCCACAAUGGGCGAAAGCCUGCUGGAGCAACGCCGCGUGGGUGAAGAAGGUCUUCGGAUCGUAAAACCCUGUUGUUAGAGAAGAAAGUGCGUGAGAGUAACUGUUCACGUUUCGACGGUAUCUAACCAGAAAGCCACGGCUAACUACGUGCCAGCAGCCGCGGUAAUACGGAGGUGGCAAGCGUUAUCCGGAUUUAUUUGGCGUAAAGGGAACGCAGGCGGUCUUUUAAGUCUGAUGUGAAAGCCUUCGGCUUAACCGGAGUAGUGCAUUGGAAACUGGGAGACUUGAGUGCAGAAGAGGAGAGUGGAACUCCAUGUGUAGCGGUGAAAUGCGUAGAUAUAUGGAGGAACACCAGUGGCGAAAGCGGCUCUCUGGUCUGUAACUGACGCUGAGGUUCGAAAGCGUGGGUAGCAAACGGGAUUAGAUACCCUUGUAGUC